GGGAGCUUGCUCCCUGAUGUUAGCGGCGGACGGGUGAGUAACACGUGGGUAACCUGCCUGUAAGACUGGGAUAACUCCGGGAAACCGGGGCUAAUACCGGAUGGUUGUUUGAACCGCAUGGUUCAGACAUAAAAGGUGGCUUCGGCUACCACUUACAGAUGGACCCGCGGCGCAUUAGCUAGUUGGUGAGGUAACGGCUCACCAAGGCGACGAUGCGUAGCCGACCUGAGAGGGUGAUCGGCCACACUGGGACUGAGACACGGCCCAGACUCCUACGGGAGGCAGCAGUAGGGAAUCUUCCGCAAUGGACGAAAGUCUGACGGAGCAACGCCGCGUGAGUGAUGAAGGUUUUCGGAUCGUAAAGCUCUGUUGUUAGGGAAGAACAAGUGCCGUUCAAAUAGGGCGGCACCUUGACGGUACCUAACCAGAAAGCCACGGCUAACUACGUGCCAGCAGCCGCGGUAAUACGUAGGUGGCAAGCGUUGUCCGGAAUUAUUGGGCGUAAAGGGCUCGCAGGCGGUUUCUUAAGUCUGAUGUGAAAGCCCCCGGCUCAACCGGGGAGGGUCAUUGGAAACUGGGGAACUUGAGUGCAGAAGAGGAGAGUGGAAUUCCACGUGUAGCGGUGAAAUGCGUAGAGAUGUGGAGGAACACCAGUGGCGAAGGCGACUCUCUGGUCUGUAACUGACGCUGAGGAGCGAAAGCGUGGGGAGCGAACAGGAUUAGAUACCCUGGUAGUCCACGCCGUAAACGAUGAGUGCUAAGUGUUAGGGGGUUUCCGCCCCUUAGUGCUGCAGCUAACGCAUUAAGCACUCCGCCUGGGGAGUACGGUCGCAAGACUGAAACUCAAAGGAAUUGACGGGGGCCCGCACAAGCGGUGGAGCAUGUGGUUUAAUUUCGAAGCAACGCGAAGAACCUUACCAGGUCUUGACAUCCUCUGACAAUCCUAGAGAUAGGACGUCCCCUUCGGGGGCAGAGUGACAGGUGGUGCAUGGUUGUCGUCAGCUCGUGUCGUGAGAUGUUGGGUUAAGUCCCGCAACGAGCGCAACCCUUGAUCUUAGUUGCCAGCAUUCAGUUGGGCACUCUAAGGUGACUGCCGGUGACAAACCGGAGGAAGGUGGGGAUGACGUCAAAUCAUCAUGCCCCUUAUGACCUGGGCUACACACGUGCUACAAUGGACAGAACAAAGGGCAGCGAAACCGCGAGGUUAAGCCAAUCCCACAAAUCUGUUCUCAGUUCGGAUCGCAGUCUGCAACUCGACUGCGUGAAGCUGGAAUCGCUAGUAAUCGCGGAUCAGCAUGCCGCGGUGAAUACGUUCCCGGGCCUUGUACACACCGCCCGUCACACCACGAGAGUUUGUAACACCC
rnacentral:rRNA from 1 species